GUCGAAAUGUCAUGUUUUAGUCGUGUUUACAUUUCUUUUCGACACGGUAUUUUUUUUCACCAAAACAUCCACUUCCACGGCCCGGGCGAGAAGAAGGGGACCUUCGUCGUGAAAGGGAAGUGCGUAACACGCAAACUCGUCAGACUUUACCACUUGAUUCAAAUAUACGGUAUUUCUCUGGUUGCCUGGCCACGAGCACAGCCAGCCCUGCUUCCUUUGAGAAGAGUAACACAGGGGCACACGAAAAUACAAACAGGCACAACAUGGCAGGGUGAAAGCAUACCACGGCUGCAUACAGGCUGCUGUAAGUAGCCGAGAUCCUCUCCCAGCGGCUGCACGGGUCGCGUCCCUCCCUUAAGGGCCAGGCGACAUUCAGACCGAGGAAAAGGACUAAAUAGUUGCCUCUUGCAUGGGCUGCAUGUCCCCGGCACGCUGGAAACCCGUUACAAUGUUUUAUCUUAU